rnacentral:rRNA from 1 species
GUCCACGCUGUAACGAUGGAUGCUAGCCGUUGGCGGCUUGCUCGUCAGUGGCGCAGCUAACGCUUUAAGCAUCCCGCCUGGGAGUACGGUCGCAAGAUUAAACUCAAGGAAUUGACGGGGCCCGCACAAGCGGUGGAGCAUGUGGUUCAAUUCGAAGCAACGCGAAGAACCUUACCAGCCCUUGACAUCCCGGUCGCGGAGAGCAGAGACGCACUCCUUCAGUUCGGCUGGACCGGAGACAGGUGCUGCAUGGCUGUCGU